rnacentral:rRNA from 1 species
GUCUAUUUGAAGAUUUAAAUAGUCAGGCCUGCUCACUGACUAAAUUUGUUUAAGAGCCGCGGUAUUCUGACCGUGCAAAGGUAGCAUAAUCAUUAGUUUUUUAAUUGAAAACUAGUAUGAAAGGUUAGACAAGAAAAAAGCUGUCUUAAUUAUAAUUCUUGAAUUUAACUUUUAAGUGAAAAGGCUUAAAUUAUUUAGAGGGACGAUAAGACCCUAUAAAGCUUUAUAUAAAUAUUAAAGUUGAUUAAAGUUAUAUUAAAGGUUAAUAAUGAAUAAUGUAUUUUGUUGGGGAGAUGUGAAUAUAAAUUUUAUAACUGUUUAUGAUAAUAAUCAUUUAUUAAUGGAUGAAUUUUAAAUGACCCUAUAUUAUAGAUUAAAAGGUUAAGUUACUUUAGGGAUAACAGCGUUAUUUYACUUGAGAGUUCUUAUCGAAAGUGAAGUUUGCGACCUCGAUGUUGAAUUAAAGUUUCUGUAUAAUGCAGCCGUUAUAUAAGAAGGUCUGUUCGACCUUUAAAUUUUUACAUGAUUUGAGUUCAGACCGGCGUAAG